rnacentral:ncRNA from 1 species
CCGACGGGGCGCCUGGGUUAGCCAGGCUGAGAAGGUAACCCGUUGAACCUGAACCGGUUAAUACCGGCGGAGGAAUUUGGAU